AUGCAAAUAGUCAAGUCUCUGUCUCCAGCACUCCUAGGGGAACUAACUGGGAAUCAAGAACUUCUUGGGGUAGCUGCUUGCUCGUCAGCCACAGGACCCUGGCUGUUCCUUCCAAAUGGAGAGGAGUGGAGUCUACUCCUCAUCAGCUUACUUGCAUCUUUCUGCACUUUCAGCACAGCAAUGAAUAAAUGCAGCAAUUGCCAUAGCAGUAAAAUCUCCUGUGCUUUUUCCCCUCUUCAGAUUUUCUUUCAGUCCCUUUCACUUUAUAGUGACCUCCCUUUCGGUUCUCAGGAUCUUGACAGACAUGGUUACUUUACAGAGACAGGUUUUAACAUUGUAGGAAAGAUUUUGUUAUUAUUCCAGUGUUAGCUUUUUGUCACUGGGACAUGACAUACACAGUUUAAAGGAGAAAAAGUGUACUUUGGCUCACUGUUUUAGAGGUCUCAGACCAUGGUCAGCUGGCUCUGAGAGAGAAACAGUACAGUGGAGGAAAGCGGUUCACUUUGUGGCAGCCAGAAAGCAGAGAGAACUGAAGAGUCAGAGUGGAAGGGGCUAGGGACAAAACUCCAGCAACCUUCUUCCACAAUCUGUGCCCUACCUCUUAACGGCCCAUUCUGCUAUGAAUUCAUAAGUGGAUUAACUCAUGAAUGAGGUUAGCACCCUCAAUACAUGAGUCUUUGGAGGACACUUCAUAUUUAAAUCACAACAUCCCAUAUCUUCCCUUCAGCCCUGUGGUUUCAACACUGACCAGCUCACCAUGAGCUUUUCUAGGCUCCACUCCCGCCAAGCUGUCCCUGGAGUCUGUGGGGGCUCUGUGUGAACAGGUUCCUCGGCCUCACCACCUCUCUUCUCCUUGGCAGGGACACGUGGCACACUCCGUGGGGGAGUAAUUGAGCAGAUGUGAGCAGCCGUCUUCAGGUUGUGGGCGAGAGGCACAAAGCCUGUCCUCCCAGAAAACACGAUAAAACCCAUUUCUAUGUCCUAGAUCCUCACAUUUAGCAGAGGGCGGCCUUUUUCCUACUACAGCCACGUGUCAAAUGCCAUGUGGCACGGGGAAUUCUACAGAGGCGUGGAAAGGGGUGAUUCCCUCUUUGUCUCAGGCCUGUCUCACCUACAUCGACUUUGUUAGAUGCUGUGCUUAGGAAAGGGCAUUAGAGAUUGGAAAGUUCUCACACAGAAAUCUUGACUUUUAUACUGAGUCAUUCUGAAUUAUUUUGAGUCCUAGUACUUUCUGAAAUCUUUGAAGUAGCACACAUUUUCUUUUUAGUUUCUUAUGAGCUAUCUUAACUCUCUGUACUGAAUAAUAAGAAGACUCCUAUUCCUAAUCCUUCACCUACAUUCUCUCUCUCCCUCCUGCCUAUUUCUUCUCUAUAUCAUGCCAUUCCUUAACAUUUACUUCUUUCAGUCUUCAAAGCUCUUUGCAAUGUAUUAACCUGGUUGCCAAAGGCUGCGUGGGAACACCCACCCAAACCCUGUGUAAUGUUGUAAUCAGAAACCAGGUAACAUGAUAAGCCUGCCGAUAACUUAUGGAUACUAACACUGUUACCUAUUCCCCGCCUACCUCCUCAGUGAGCAUUAAAGUUGUGUCUUUGCUUUUCUUGCCUGCCACUUGCUACUAAACCUCCCAUUCUUCUUGUGUUCCUGGUUCUUUGUUGAUUAGCCCUUCCUUCCUCUGUAAUAGAAGCCUUGGAGACAGGAAAAAUAGCAGUUUCCUGUUCUGCUUGUUUAUUAUGUUUAAUUAACUCCUCUAUGGCAAUUCUAUGUUUAUUGGCCAGGAUAACAUUCAUAUUUUUC
rnacentral:lncRNA from 1 species